AAGUCGUAACAAGGUAUCCGUAGGUGAACCUGCGGAUGGAUCAUUCAAAGGUGAAAAUGGCCCUUGGGGCUGUUUUUGUUUUGUGCAAUGUAAUGUGUGAGUGUGUGUGCCUCUCUCUUAAUGGGAGUGGCACAUGCAUCCUCCUUUUUUUUAACCCAUUCUAUCUUACCAAACUUAUUAACCAAAGAACCUUGAAAACUGCCAGCAAUGGAUCCCUCGGUUCUC
rnacentral:misc_RNA from 1 species